UCCCUCCUUCUAGGGGUGGAAGAAGGAAGCUUGAAGAGCAAGGUCCUACCUCUCUUCGGAGACGUGUGGUGUGAGGCUGGGUCCUGAAGAUGUUGGUGUUUCUGCUGCUUCUGGGACCCGGCUCUGGGCUCAGUGCUCUCGUCUCUCAACACCCCAGCAGGGCUAUCUGUAAGAGUGGAGCGUCUGUGACCAUCCAGUGCCGUUCAGGGACACUUCAAGCCACAACUGCGUAUUGGUAUCAUCAGUUCCCGAAACAGGGCCUCGUGCUGAUAGCCACUUCUAAUGAGGGCUCCGAUGCCACGUACGAACAAGGUUAUACCAAGGCCAAGUACCCCGUCAGCCACCCAAACCUCACAUUUACAUCUCUGAUGGUGACAAAUGUGCAUCCUGCAGACAGCAGCCUCUACUUCUGUGGUGUCAGAGACACAGCGCUGGGCAGAGAUGAGAGACCCAAACAAGAACCUUUGUAACAGCUACCACCCCCCACCCCACCAAACCCAUGGAGCCCCGUGGAAGGAGGUGUGGAGAGAGAAAAACCACAGCCUCUCUGACUGAGUCAGCUGUGAUCGUGUGUAUGCAGAAAGAGAGAGAAAAUAUCUGAGUACGGAGCGUGGAAAAAGCAUGGUGUUAGAGAGCUAGCCAUAUGGGAAUGGAGCUGGUCCUAUAAAUGGCCAACCAACCUGGAAAGUUCCCUGGGCUGAAAAUUAUAAAACCUGGAUUUUUCUUCUGACUCUGCCAUAUGUUAACCAUAUCUUCUUAGAUAAAUCAACACAUAAUCCUAUAGGCACAUCUCAAAAUGCUUCUAUAAUGCACUGUG